UGGGGAAUCUUGCGCAAUGCGCGAAAGCGUGACGCAGCAACGCCGCGUGGGGGAAGAAGGCCUUCGGGUUGUAAACUGCUUUUGUACGGAACGAAACGGCCUGGGCUAAUACCUCGGGCUAAUGACGGUACCGUAAGAAUAAGCACCGGCUAACUACGUGCCAGCAGCCGCGGUAAUACGUAGGGUGCAAGCGUUAAUCGGAAUUACUGGGCGUAAAGCGUGCGCAGGCGGUGAUGUAAGACAGGUGUGAAAUCCCCGGGCUUAACCUGGGAACUGCAUUUGUGACUGCAUCGCUGGAGUGCGGCAGAGGGGGAUGGAAUUCCGCGUGUAGCAGUGAAAUGCGUAGAUAUGCGGAGGAACACCGAUGGCGAAGGCAAUCCCCUGGGCCUGCACUGACGCUCAUGCACGAAAGCGUGGGGAGCAAACAGGAUUAGAUACCCUGGUAGUCCACGCCCUAAACGAUGUCAACUGGUUGUUGGUCCUUCACUGGAUCAGUAACGAAGCUAACGCGUGAAGUUGACCGCCUGGGGAGUACGGCCGCAAGGUUGA
rnacentral:rRNA from 1 species